CCCAGCGGUAGUCAGCUGUCCAGGCCAGCCCAUGCCUGAGCUAGUGUUACUCUGCUGGAAGAGAAAGCCACUGCCGUCUGUGCUCCAUCAGGAUUGGCUGUUUUAGUGAAUCCUGCUGUGCAGCGCUGGCCGUGCCGCCUUCUGAGAGUGGACUGUGCUCACUACAUGAGGCAGCCCUAGUCUGGGGGCGAACACU